AAUACUAAUAUGAAAAAGCAGAUGAUUGAAACACGGACAAACGAAUGGUUGUAGGCAAAAAGAGUUUCGAUGCUUACUUCUUUCCAUCUUGCGCUUGUCUUUCAGUUUCUUGCAAUCCGUCGACAACCUGGUGGAAAUCAAACACUGAGGAGAGCAGAGAAGUUGAUGAAAGCGCCAUAAAAAUACAAACAAAUGCAAAGCCAUACGCACCAAGGUGAGCUCGAUCUGAGACAAUCAGUCUCUUUUCCCAGCCUUUCAACCCUGAUGAGAGAACAGAGUAUUAUAUUUUAAAUAAAUAAAUAUUUCGACUUUUAACAUUCUGCCAUUCCAAAGAUAACAAUGCCCAAUUUUAUCGAAAAUAUAUUGCGCCUUCAAUUGGCGUCAUACUGAUAGGUCAUAUUUUGUUUACAUUUUUUCACUUUAAAAAGACGGGCAGAAUAUAAACAAAUAAUGGUAUGUUAAUUCCAGGACAUUUUUGGAAAGGCAGAAUUGCUGAUUGUGUGAAUUCUACCUUUUUUCUCAUUUUUGUCGCCCUCCUCAAACAGGCCAGGCAAAUGUAUGACCACGCCAUUACCUGCCAGACCAAAGAGAUAUCAAAGAGGUCAUCGGAGCCGAAAAUGAGGGCGUUGAUGACACUGAGGAGCGUCACCAUGUAUGAAACGUUGUCUGUGGCCUGCAACUCGUUCAUGAUCACGCUGAAGCGAUAGUGACUCGUCUUCACGCCCUGAAGAACAAAUCAGAGGAAAUUAGUCAACUUUAGUUAGGUGUCAUGCUUGGGAAUGCAACUCGCCACAAGAGGGCGGUAUUUUUAUUUAUUUUUUUGGAGUGGGGAGCAUAUAUUUUUCUUGCCUUGUAGUGUUCCAGAGCAUCCAGAGCAAGGCGAUGGCCCUCUGUUGAGAACAUGCUGAGGGCUGCAAGUAGCUCCAACACCUGCUUCUUCACCAUCGUGUUGGAGGUGUCCAAGGCUGUGUGGAACACACACAUUUAAUUAACACAGCAAACAAACGUUCUCAGCGGCGCUUCCUUUUUGUGUCAAGACCUCAAUAUGCCUCACAUAGUUUUCGGCAGCGCAAUGUGGACUUUGUUCUUUGAGGAUGUGGCAAAAGAUAAAGAUUCAAAAAUUCCAACUUAUGGGGAAACUAUAAACAGGCUUUUGUGAUUCUCUUGCAAAUGCUUGUAUAAUAAACUACACACAAAAAGGGA